GGAGAGAUGGCCGAGUGGUUUAAGGCAGCGGUCUUGAAAACCGCCGUGGGUGAAAGUCCACCGUGGGUUCGAAUCCCACUCUCUCCGCCA
rnacentral:tRNA from 1 species